rnacentral:ncRNA from 1 species
AUUAAAAUUAAAAUUUUACUAAAUUAAUUAAGUAAAGUUUUAUUUUGGCUUAAAGAUUUAUUUAUAAUUUAUUUUACAUGUAAAUUUUUGUGGGGAUUGGUUAUAAAUUAAAAAUUUUUAACUUUAUUUUAGUCGCAGUAAUUGAUAUUAUUUAUUUAAGAAAUUAAGAAAUAGUAAUAUUAUUUAAUAUUGGUAAAAUUUGUGCCAGCAACCGCGGUUAUACAUAAAAUGUAAAUAAAUCUUAUUGGUAAUAAUUAAUUUGUUAGGUUAAGUUAAUUUGUACUAUAUUUAUUAGGUGAAAUUUUAAAUGUGGAUUAAGUUAAAUUUAAAGGUAAUGAAGUUAGUAAAUUUUAGUAAUAAACUAGGAUUAGAUACCCUAUUAUUUAGAAUGUAGGUUAAAAAUAUCUGAGUAGUAAUAGUUAUGUUCUUGAAACUUAAAAAAUUUGGCGGUAUUUUAAUCUAUUCAGAGGAACCUGUUCUAUAAUCGAUAAUCCACGAGGACUUUACUUAAGCUUGUUUUUCAAUUUGUAUACCGCCGUUAUAGAUUAUCUUAUAAGAGAAUUAAUUUUCUUAAUUUUUUAAAAAAGUAUAUCAGGUCAAGGUGCAGUUUAUGUUUAAGUAAGAAAUGGGUUACAAUAAAUUUAUAUUUAAACGGAGGUAGAAUUGAAAAAUUUUACUGAAGGUGGAUUUGAAAGUAAAAUUAUGUAUAUAGUUAAUUUGACUUUGGCUCUAAAAUAUGUACACAUCGCCCGUCGCUCUUAUUACUUUAUUAAUAAUAUAAAAUAAGA